rnacentral:lncRNA from 1 species
CAGCAAGUGACAAGACUGAGGCAGGCAGAGUGGCCGAGCGGGGUAGAGGGGCUGGAGACAGCAGUCAUGUGGAUGUUUUGGCACACAGGGGUCUGAAGGAGCCUGAUUGUUGAAGCAAAACUUCCCGUUUACCUACUGAUUGGAGGGUUUUUGAGCAUCUGGAAGCCAGAACAAAAAUGACCAUCCAUCCUCCCGCUGACCUUCCAGAUGACUGCAGGUGCAUGAGCACGCCCAGCAGGGAUCAGCUGAGCAAAAUCACCUCGCCGAAUCAUAGGUACAUAGCCACUCUAAGCCACUAAAUUUUGAGCUUAUUAACUUACAGAAAAAACAGCCUGCUUGAUUCAUUUUUGCUAUCUUUGAAGUAGUGGACAUGUAGGGAUGACAAUGAAAUUCAUUUAUUAUUAUGAUUAUUAAACC